rnacentral:rRNA from 1 species
UACGUAGGUGGCAAGCGUUGUUCGGAAUGACUGGGCGUAAAGCGCGUGUAGGCGGCCUCGCAAGUCGGGUGUGAAAGCCCUGGGCUCAACCCAGGAAGUGCACUCGAAACUGCAAGGCUUGAGUCCCGGAGAGGAAAGCGGAAUUCUCGGUGUAGAGGUGAAAUUCGUAGAUAUCGGGAGGAACACCAGUGGCGAAGGCGGCUCACUGGCCCGAUACUGACGCUGAGGCACGAAAGCGUGGGGAGCAAACAGG